AACAGCAACUGCACAUGAAUUCAUAAGGUUCAGAGCUUGCUCAUCGUUCGGCUUCUCAAAUUCAUGAACUUUCUUCUUCUUGGAACAGCUAGUCAACUCAGCAUCCUCACGCUUAUGCUUUUCUCCUAACCGAAUUGCUGCUGCAGUUGCUGCUUGGGCUCACCGAUUGACACGGUCAGAACAGGUUAGAAGAAAAGAUGGCAAACAACAAUAAGCAACGAAGUUUUGCCGGCGAAUCCGUUUGCUCUCCUUCUAUCUCUUUCUCCCUUGCCAUCGAUGUUGAGCCAACAACCCUUGGGCGGGUUGCGACUGGAGACCACUUGGAACAGCAGCCCUGGACCAGGUUCCAUUAGAUAAACUCACGUCCACCUCGACCGUAGGAUUGCUUCUGCUGUCGAAGCUUGUCGUGCCUUGGCAGACUGGAUCAUGGUCAUCGACUCCACGAGUAGCCAUCUGCAGCUUACUCGGCGUUUUGGGCUAGCAUCAUGAUGGAAGUAAUAACGAGCAGUUCUUCAACGGAGAAGAUGGCUAGUUCGAUAGUUCUGAGCUGGCCGGCAAGUUGAAUCCGGUGAAGGAGCGAUCGUGAAUCCGGCCAUGCAUGUGUGGUGUUCGUUAACCGGUGAAAACUCCUUGAACGGCUGGCAACACUUUCUCAUACCUCAAGGAUAAUCUGUCAAGAUAAGUUUCCCUUAGCGCCACCAUCAAUGAUGAGAGAAUUAUCCGAUAGAUAGAGAUACAAUUCCUUCCUAGAAGCAAAAGACGGGGGAAUCUUCUGGCAUGAAUUCCCAUAAUCAACCGACCGGGCAAUGAGUUCUUGAUAAUCAGACAGAAGAAAACUCUCCCACCGAAACUUAGUCCCUCGCCGGAAAGCUAUGGUCUGAUCUUGGCCCCAACCACUGAGGCUCGACUGAUCACUAUUUUUCUCUCGGAAGCAUCACUAAUGCUUAUUCUUGCACUAGUGCUGCAACUGCUACUACUAUUACUCCGAGACCACAUCAACGAGUCCUUGCUGUUAACGCUGCUCGUCCGGAUUCGCAUAGUCCUUCCCAUGAACUUGGGAUGGGUCCGACGCCGGCGAGAUCAUCCGGCGGCAGCGACCAGACCAGCUGGUUCAACAUCGCUUGUAGCCGUAACAGAGAGAACAGCCGGAAAAUCCUUAUCGUAGCAAAUUGGAAAAGUCCAGCUCGCCGGAAAUAUUUUGUAUGUGUGUAUAUAGAGACUUAGAGAUUGUAGAAUGACUGCUAGGGUUCUUCACAUUGAGAGAGUGUACGUGACUAUAGUUUAUGAGAGGAGUGAAGAAGCAAAAAGGAGGCCGACGUUUCUCUUUACUGAUUCAACAAAUUUUAUCAUGCAAAUAAUGUAUCAAGGAAUGAAUGCCUCCACAUGCGCUUGUCCCCUCCCUUUUUCUUUUCUUAUUACACCCGUGACCGAGAUUUAAGCUUGCCACCGACUUAAUUAUAAAACAAUAAUUGCAUGUUAGUUUUAAUAAUUCUCAAAGGUUAUUUUGGUAAUUUCCAUGACAAAAUAAUGCACAAGGGGCAUUUUAGACAUUUUGCUAGCAAUAAUUCACUAAAUGUGACUAAAGGGUAAACUAGACUUUUUCACCUCUAUUAUUAAGGACAUUAUAGACAUUUGCUACAACCCUUAGGGUUUUGAAAAAAAUUAAUUUUCUAAGAUUUUCCAAUUUAGGUUUUUCUAAAUAGAAAAUUCAUAUCUCUAAAUUAAAAUUAGGAUUUUCAAAUUAUAUUCAAAUUUCCCAAUCAUAAUUAAAUCUUACUAAUUAGGAUAAAUAAUUUCCUAAUUAAAAUAGCUAAUUUAUCAAUUAGGUCCGUUAGGGUUUCAAACGGAAAAAUUAGGAUUUUCUAAAUUAUUAGAAAAUCUAAUUUGAUCAUUAGAGUUUCUUAUAAAUCGUAAUAAUUUUAUAACUGAACGUGGACAUUCUUAAUAUAUACGAUUAGGAUUUGACACAGGUUUAAUUUAUCUGGUCAACCCUUGACCCUUCACCACAUUCUGCACACAUAAUAUUGUAAUCACAGAAUAUAUACUCUUAUACUCUUAAUCCUGAAUAAUUCACUAAAAGAAAUUUUAAUUCCUCAAAAUUCCUUCCUGAAAACAUCAAACACAUACACUUAUUCUCUGUCUAGGUCUAUUAUUUGACCUUAAACCAAUCAUUUAAGAUUUAAAUAAUUUUCUUAUUUCUCGGGUUGUCACAUUCACCCCUUCUUCUAAGAAUUUCGUCCUCGAAAUUAAAGCAUCCUAACCUCUGCUCAUUCUCUUGAUCAAAACUAGGUUUUCAAUUUAACCUUUACAAUUUCCUCAUUCGAGGAUUUCUCAUCUAUUAUCACAUUUCACCAUAACUACUCACUAGGAGUUUACAUCUUCUAAACAUUCAUCAAAACUAGGUUGUCAUAAUAACCUUUAUUUAAUCAUCUCAGAUUCUACUCGUACGCAACGAGUUUACACUAUUUCAUAUCCAUCAUCACAUUCUACCACAACAUUACUUUGAAGAGUUAAAAAAAACUUUUCAUAUCUGUCUGAGGGAUCAUAAAAAUUAUGAACUUUGAACUCCGAGGUUUAGGGGUAUUUCUACCUGCUACCUCUUUCAAUUAAGAAAGAAAGGUACUCUACCUCUUAAACAUUUCUUUAAUAGGUAUGUUUACAAUCACGAAGAAGGUAAACUACCGAUUCUGGUACUUUAGAUGAUCAGUCUAUUGUACCUUAGUAAUCCGAACGACUAUAUGCGUCCUUAAAUUGGAAUAUUCUAUCCAAUUAGUAUAUCCCCAUUUUCAGGGUUGUUCACCUCAGACUUAGUAUAGGAUUCCGCACCAAAACAAUUUGGUUCGGGAAAUUUCUUUCAAUGAACACUUAGAGUUUUCAUAAACAUUAGUCUAGCUGAAUCGAAUAGCAUAGACUCAUAUCGAUAAUUCAGUUCAAUAGAAUUAUUUAAGUAUAGCCAAACCCCGUUGGCAAAUUAAAAUUUUGAAAACAUUUUUCGAGAAUGACGUCAUGAUGCCGCACUGUAUUUACAGUCCGUUGAGGAUUCCGUCAUUUGGUGAUUUUAUCAUACUACAUCAUACCAUAGUGGGUUGACGAUCCUGAGAUCACAUCCAACACUAAGUAAUACUGCAUUGAUGACUCCAUCAUUUUUUUAUCAUCUCUGCACCAGGUUGCAUGGUACAUAAGUGAUAAAUAAAAACAACUUUUGAUACUUCAAAUCAUUCGCGUCUAGCCGAAAUAAGUAGCAUAGACUGUACUUUAAAUCGUUUCAAAAAUCUUUGCAAAUCAGUUUUAUCAUCUCAACAGGUAACGAGGUGUCGAUGGCCCGAAGUCCACGCAUACACAAUAAUCACCAGGAGUUGAGAAUAAAAAUUCAUUUUUCAAAAGCACAUAGUGCGUAUUUAGCUUGAUGUCAAAAACUUCGAAGUCUAGCAUAGCUAGAAGAUUUGGAAUACCUAUGCUUCCAUCAUCAACUUCACUUUUUCUACUGAUCCAUUACUUAAUAGAUCUAUCUAUUCUUAUAAUCCUCAAUGCUCCAUUCACCACUUUGCUAUACCCCAGUUCAUCAAACUUACCACACAUUAUGAGUUCAGGAACUUGCCACAAUCAUAUGAGUUUAAGAACUUAUCCUAGUCAGACCAUAGGCGUCCAUUCGCUGAGGGGUUCAAAACAUACCAUAUGAUUAUGAGUCAUGAACUUACCAUAAGUAUGAGUUUUAAGAACUCGCAACUUAACCUUAUAUCCUCUACCUAUUCGUUAUACACAUGAGAAAAGAAUCACCUUCUCAACAUGCAUAUAACAAAUAGCGCGACAUAAACAUUUCAAUGAUUAUCAGUGCCAGAAACUAAGUGGUUUUUACACCAAGUACAAUUCAGCUCCCAUACGAAGAAUUAUACACUCAGCUGCCGACAUGAGUCCUCAAUUGAAUCCCCACCUAACACUAACCCCAUUCUCCAUACGAAUUUAAUUCGUAUUUAUAAUUCUCUUCUGGAUCUGUACCAAUUUAUAGUACAAUUCAUACACAGCAAUCUUGCUGUAAACUUUUCAUUAUUCUCUGGAUCUUUCUUCAUACCAUAACCUUAUCAGAUCACGGAGUGAUCUCAUCGUAUAUAUUAUGAUUCAUUGCUAUUCUGUGAUCAUUUUGUUUUACAAUCUCCCAUCCUUACACUUGUAAUCUCUUAGAGUCUAUCUAUCCACUUCCUAUACUUGAUACACAUCGAGUCUCUAACAGUUUUCAAUAUGGUACGCUGAGUGGUUUCCCACAAACAACCAACAAACUAGGUUCCGAGUUGCUAGUUCGUAUAUACCUCCGCUCUAUGAAGGAAUCGUUUAGCCCAGAUACCAUACAUCAACUANNNNNNNNNNNNNNNNNNNNNNNNNNNNNNNNNNNNNNNNNNNNNNNNNNNNNNNNNNNNNNNNNNNNNNNNNNNNNNNNNNNNNNNNNNNNNNNNNNNNNNNNNNNNNNNNNNNNNNNNNNNNNNNNNNNNNNNNNNNNNNNNNNNNNNNNNNNNNNNNNNNNNNNNNNNNNNNNNNNNNNNNNNNNNNNNNNNNNNNNNNNNNNNNNNNNNNNNNNNNNNNNNNNNNNNNNNNNNNNGAAAGGGUGAGCUCAACUAGCCCAGUAAGAAAUAUUAUGACUAAGAUAAUGCAGAAUAAAUUAUCAUUAGUCUUCAACAGUGUUAAACUGAUAAUAUACAAUAGACAUCAAGUUUAACUGCAGCGGAACAAGCAAUCCAUUAAAAGAGUCAAGUAGAGAAUAAAAUCUACUAUCUUUUAUGAUUUAAAAUGUUUUCAUCAACUUUUAUCGCUGAGAUUCAACUUAAUAAAUAAACCACAUCUUCUAAUCAUCCCUGUACCACGAGCCAAUGAUAUUCAUUAAAUCAUCAACGGUCAUGACUAUACCGAAUAAUCCCUGGUCAUAAUCAUACCAAAAACUGUCCAUCAAUGCAUUACAGGCCACUGAGGACUUUUACCACAUCACUUAUAACAUCACAGUUCAUGAUUAUACCGAAUGAUCCCUGGUCAUAAUUGUAGCAGCCCCAUAUGAGAAGAUUAUGUCCUUGAGCUCCUCUACAACAGCAACUGCACAUGAAUUCAUAAGGUUCAGAGCUUGCUCAUCGUUCGGCUUCUCAAAUUCAUGAACUUUCUUCUUCUUGGAACAACUUCAUGAACUUUCUUCUUCUUGGAACAGCUAGUCAACUCAGCAUCCUCACGCUUAUGCUUUUCUCCUAACCGAAUUGCUGCUGCAGUUGCUGCUUGGGCUCACCGAUUGACACGGUCAGAACAGGUUAGAAGAAAAGAUGGCAAACAACAAUAAACAACGAAGUUUUGCCGGCGAAUCCGUUUGCUCUCCUUCUAUCUCUUUAUCCCUUGCCAUCGAUGUUGAGCCAACAACCCUUGGGCGGGUUGCGACUGGAGACCACUUGGAACAGCAGCCCUGGACCAGGUUCCAUUAGAUAAACUCACGUCCACCUCGACCGUAGGAUUGCUUCUGCUGUCGAAGCUUGUCGUGCCUUGGCAGACUGGAUCAUGGUCAUCGAUUCCACGAGUAGCCAUCUGCAGCUUACUCGGCGUUUUGGGCUAGCAUCAUGAUGGAAGUAAUAACGAGCAGUUCUUCAACGGAGAAGAUGGCUAGUUCGAUAGUUCUGAGCUGGCCGGCAAGGAAACGGGUUUGCUUUGUAGUCUCAGCAGCCAGGAUUCUCGAAACCGGAUGUGGCAGCGACCGGACUUUCUAGUGGAGACAAAGUCAUCGGAUACUUCGCCACCGUCGACGUCGGAGAUGAGACAGCUGACGACGGCCGAAGGAGGCCUCUUGGAGGUGAUGUUCAGACAGCAUUUGAGAAGCUACCGACGCGUAUGACUUUCGCCACUGGAAAAACGGCGACGCCGACAAAGGACUGCUGCACAACUCCAACUUUUUCAGUAGCUGUCGUACUCAUUGGGAGGUUCUCCAGAAUCUGCUCUGAGCAAACAUUCUUCAUGGCUUAAUAGCUUCAUCGGCAGCUUUGAUAGAUAGUUCGCCGGAAUAUUUACGUCAGGAAGAAGGGAAGCUUUUGAUGAAUUUAAAAAAAAACCUUGAGUAGUGCCGACUUUGGCAUAGAACUCACUGUAGACAUUGCCGUGUUCUUGGACUUCUGCAAUAUCGUAUUGAGUAAGCAUGGAGGAUAAUUCAACACUUUCUCUGGCAGCAUAUUCCGGCGAGGCCGGAAGGCAUGAGAGGUGAGAGAGUGUGGAGCUAAGCUUGGAGAAGAAGCAAUAGCACUCAAUAUAAGCCACUGAAAAAUUUAAAGACCAUGACAUGGUUGCUUCCAAUUUCUUGGUUACCAUGAAGAGAGAAUAUGAAAAACCAAAAACAGUAGCCAUGCAUGAUUCUCUGUUCUUUUCUUUUAUUCUUUUACCCGCGAUCGGAAUUAUUGCUACGUCUCCUAUAAAUUAUUCCCUCCACAUGCCCUUGUCUCCCUUGAAUUAUUCUCCCAUAAUUUAUUCUCCCUAAUUCAGUCGCCCACAUACGUUUAUCUUUUAUUAAUCCACCCGUGAUUUAAGCUUGCCACCGACUCUCAAAAUUAUUGAACAAUAAUUCACAAAGGUUAAUUAGGUAAUUUCCAUACCAAAACUAAUGCACAAGGGUAUUUUGGGCAUUUUACUAGCAAUAAUUCACCAAAUAUGACAAAAAGGGUAAACUAGUAAUUUCCACAUUAAUAAUUAAAUUCUACCUUUAAUAAUGCACAAGGGCAUUUUAGACAUUUGCUACAACCCUUAGGGUUUUCAAAAAUUAAUUUUCUAAUAUCUUAAAUUUAGAUUUUCUAAAUAGAAAAUUAAGAUCUCUAAAUUAUAAUUAGGAUUAAUAUUUCCUAAUUAAAUAUUGCUAAUUUAACGAUUAAUUCCAUAACUGUAAAUUAGGGUUUUCCUGACAGAACAAUUAGGGUUCGAAAAUUCUGAAAUUAGGGUUUGCUAAUUAAUUAAGCUUUACCCUAAUUAGUAUUAUAAUUAAUAGCACUUAAGCAUUAUACUUAUCCAAUAAUUUCUCGGAUUAGGGUUUUCAAAUACCGAAUUAGGGUUUUGG
rnacentral:lncRNA from 1 species